rnacentral:tRNA from 1 species
GGACUCGUAGCUCAGCUGGCUAGAGCGUUGGCUGUACUGAAGCCUUUCACUUGCUGUCGUGGGUUCGAAUCCCACAGAGGCCA